AUGCUCGGCUCAACGCAUGUCUCCCGUUGCUUCGUCAUCCAUGGCGAGGGGGGAGUGGUGGCUUCUCUGGACGUAGUGCCUACUGCUUCAGCUCUACUCACCACUGUUGCAGGCGAAGGGCCCAUUGUGCAAGCGCCUCCAGUGCGUCCGGGCUGGGGAAAUUGGCGAGGAUGUUUCGACCGAGUGGCGGUGUCAACAGUUCCUAUGGCUCCAUGCGGGGAUGCUUUGGGAGGUUGGCAGCUCGUCUCGAGAGGGCGCCGCUCGGCUCCUGCUGCUUUUCGUCGCCUUGUUGUCAAUGUGCGGCGUCCCCCUCCGACGUGGUUGAGAGACAGGUGUUUUCGGUGCCUCUAUCGAGGUCACCGAGCAUACUCUUGUAGGGAUCCAAUUCGAUGCAAGGAUUGUCUUCGAUCCGGCCACAUCCCUCGCUUCUGCCAUGUUGAGAAGCUUGUCCAUGCUUCGCCACUCCAAUGUCCUGCUCCACCACCUGCAUCCACCGAUGAAGUCUCCAUGACAGAUGUGCAGUUCCAACCUAUCUCGACUGAGCAAGUUGGGUUGGCGGAGGAGACCGAGCUGCUUCGCAUUGAGCUUCAUGUCUGCCUAGUGCGAGCCGGGAGUGUUUUGGGGAGGGCGGAGGCCGCUCUCGCCAAACUAGAGGUCGUGCCGGAUGUGUCUUCGCUGCCUGAGCUUCAGAUUGGGGUUGUGCCUGAUGUGUCCUUGCUGCCCGAGAUUCAGGUUGGUUCUGUCGAUGGGGAAGCAUGCAUGUAUGGAGAUCUCUCCCCUCGUGCUACAUCCUGUCGGUUGCCGUUGCCUGCCGUGCCGAUUGCUUCUGGUAGUGAAGUUGUUGUCGAGGUCGUGGCUCCGGUGCUGCAGAUUAUGGCUGAGCUCCAGAAGGUUUGUGGGGAGCCUACUUCGCCUAUUUCGAUGGUGCUUCCUAAGGAGAUGGGGCCGCUUGGAGGGAACUUGGUGAUGUCGAUUGCGACCUCUCCGCCGUCGUUGGAGCCCAUUCAGACUCUCGACUUUGUGGACUGUGCAGGUUUGGAUGCUACUAUUGCUCUCUCACCUAAGGUUGUUGGCCAUGUGGUGUCUGCGGGUGAUGAGGUAGGUGAGCACCUAAUUCUGAGGUGA
rnacentral:rRNA from 1 species